UACAGAGGGGGCAAGCGUUGUUCGGAAUUACUGGGCGUAAAGGGCGCGUAGGCGGCCCGCUAAGUCGAACGUGAAAUCCCCGAGCUCAACUCGGGAACUGCGUCCGAUACUGGCGGGCUUGAAUCCGGGAGAGGGAUGCGGAAUUUCAGGUGUAGCGGUGAAAUGCGUAGAUAUCUGGAGGAACACCGGUGGCGAAAGCGCUCAUCUGGCCCAAUACUGACGCUGAGGUGCGAAAGCGUGGGGAGCAAACAGGG
rnacentral:rRNA from 1 species